UACGGAGGGUGCAAGCGUUAUCCGGAUUCACUGGGUUUAAAGGGUGCGUAGGCGGGCAGGUAAGUCAGUGGUGAAAUCUCCGGGCUUAACCCGGAAACUGCCGUUGAUACUAUCUGUCUUGAAUAUCGUGGAGGUAAGCGGAAUAUGUCAUGUAGCGGUGAAAUGCUUAGAUAUGACAUAGAACACCCAUUGCGAAGGCAGCUCACUACACGGUCAUUGACACUGAGGCACGAAAGCGUGGGGAUCAAACAGG
rnacentral:rRNA from 1 species